rnacentral:rRNA from 1 species
UACGGGGGGGGCAAGCGUUGUUCGGAAUUACUGGGCGUAAAGGGCUCGUAGGCGGCCAACUAAGUCAGACGUGAAAUCCCUCGGCUUAACCGGGGAACUGCAUCUGAUACUGGAUGGCUUGAGUUCGGGAGAGGGAUGCGGAAUUCCAGGUGUAGCGGUGAAAUGCGUAGAGAUCGGGCGGAACACCAGCGGCGAAGGCGGCAUCCUGGUCCUGUUCUGACGCUGAGGCGCGAGAGCGUGGGGAGCGAACUGG